rnacentral:rRNA from 1 species
GAUGAACGCUGGCGGCGUGCCUAAUACAUGCAAGUCGAGCGAAUGGAUUAAGAGCUUGCUCUUAUGAAGUUAGCGGCGGACGGGUGAGUAACACGUGGGUAACCUGCCCAUAAGACUGGGAUAACUCCGGGAAACCGGGGCUAAUACCGGAUAACAUUUUGAACCGCAUGGUUCGAAAUUGAAAGGCGGCUUCGGCUGUCACUUAUGGAUGGACCCGCGUCGCAUUAGCUAGUUGGAGAGGUAACGGCUCACCAAGGCAACGAUGCGUAUCCGACCUGAGAGGGUGAUCGGCCACACUGGGACUGAGACACGGCCCAGACUCCUACGGGAGGCAGCAGUAGGGAAUCUUCCGCAAUGGACGAAAGUCUGACGGAGCAACGCCGCGUGAGUGAUGAAGGCUUUCGGGUCGUAAAACUCUGUUGUUAGGGAAGAACAAGUGCUAGUUGAAUAAGCUGGCACCUUGACGGUACCUAACCAGAAAGCCACGGCUAACUACGUGCCAGCCGCCGCGGUAA